rnacentral:rRNA from 1 species
UACGGAGGGGGCUAGCGUUGUUCGGAAUUACUGGGCGUAAAGCGUGCGCAGGCGGCGCCGCAAGUCAGGCGUGAAAUCCCCGAGCUUAACUUGGGAAUGGCGCUUGAAACUACGGUGCUGGAGUGUGGCAGAGGGAGGUGGAAUUCCACGUGUAGCGGUGAAAUGCGUAGAGAUGUGGAGGAACACCGAUGGCGAAGGCAGCCUCCUGGGCCAACACUGACGCUCAUGCACGAAAGCGUGGGGAGCAAACAGG